GAUGAACGCUGGCGGCGUGCCUAAUACAUGCAAGUCGAGCGAACAGACGAGGAGCUUGCUCCUUCGACGUUAGCGGCGGACGGGUGAGUAACACGUAGGUAACCUACCUAUAAGCCUGGGAUAACUUCGGGAAACCGGAGCUAAUACCGGAUAAUAUUUCGAACCGCAUGGUUCGAUAGUGAAAGAUGGCUUUGCUAUCACUUCUCGAUCGACCUGCGCCGUAUUAGCUAGUUGGUAAGGUAACGGCUUACCAAGGCAACGAUACGUAGCCGACCUGAGAGGGGGAUCGGCCACACUGGAACUGAGACACGGUCCAGACUCCUACGGGAGGCAGCAGUAGGGAAUCUUCCGCAAUGGGCGAAAGCCUGACGGAGCAACGCCGCGUGAGUGGUGAAGGUCUUCGGAUCGUAAAACUCUGUUAUUAGGGAAGAACAAACGUGUAAGUAACUGUGCACGUCUUGACGGUACCUAAUCAGAAAGCCACGGCUAACUACGUG
rnacentral:rRNA from 1 species